CGGCAUGCCUAACACAUGCAAGUCGAACGAGACCUUCGGGUCUAGUGGCGCACGGGUGCGUAACGCGUGGGAACCUGCCUUUAGGUUCGGAAUAACUCAGAGAAAUUUGAGCUAAUACCGGAUAAUGUCUUCGGACCAAAGAUUUAUCGCCUUUAGAUGGGCCCGCGUUGGAUUAGCUAGUUGGUGGGGUAAAGGCCUACCAAGGCGACGAUCCAUAGCUGGUCUGAGAGGAUGAUCAGCCACACUGGGACUGAGACACGGCCCAGACUCCUACGGGAGGCAGCAGUGGGGAAUAUUGGACAAUGGGCGAAAGCCUGAUCCAGCAAUGCCGCGUGAGUGAUGAAGGCCUUAGGGUUGUAAAGCUCUUUUACCCGAGAUGAUAAUGACAGUAUCGGGAGAAUAAGCUCCGGCUAACUCCGUG
rnacentral:rRNA from 1 species